GAUGAACGCUGGCGGCGUGCCUAAUACAUGCAAGUCGAACGCGCAGCGAAAGGUGCUUGCACCUUUCAAGCGAGUGGCGAACGGGUGAGUAACACGUGGAUAACCUGCCUCAAGGCUGGGGAUAACAUUUGGAAACAGAUGCAAAUACCGAAUAAAACUUAGUAUCGCAUGAUACAAAGUUGAAAGGCGCUACGGCGUCACCUAGAGAUGGGUCCGCGGUGCAUUAGUUAGUUGGUGGGGUAAAGGCCUACCAAGACAAUGAUGCAUAGCCGAGUUGAGAGACUGAUCGGCCACAUUGGGACUGAGACACGGCCCAAACUCCUACGGGAGGCUGCAGUAGGGAAUCUUCCACAAUGGGCGAAAGCCUGAUGGAGCAACGCCGCGUGUGUGAUGAAGGCUUUAGGGUCGUAAAGCACUGUUGUAUGGGAAGAAAUGCUAGAAUAGGGAAUGACUCUAGUUCGACGGUACCAUACCAGAAAGGGACGGCUAAAUACGUGCCAGCCGCCGCCGUAA
rnacentral:rRNA from 1 species